UUUACUUGCUGCAUAUUCUAUAGCUGAUCCUCCAUUUAAAGUUCUAAAUUCUGGAAUAUUUCUUAAUCUGAGUCUUCGUGCGAUCUAUAAAUAUCAUCCGAGUAUCCUGAGUAUUCAAAACCUAUCUUCAAAAACUACAGCACUACUCUAAAUUAAGAAGUGAACAUAACAUAAUUGAUAGAUAUAAGAGUUUAUCAAUUUUAUAACGGUUAUUGUACACGGUGACAAUUCUAAUUAAAAUGCUACAAAAAUAAUGAUCAUCCUCAAUAGAUUCAUUUUGUAUUAAACGUAAUGUACAAAAUAUAAUAUUAUGUAAAACGUGUA